AGAGAGAGUGCAAAAACUACUCUGGCAUUUUUCCUGAGGGGUGCUUCAAGUUUCAAAAAGGUUGAGAACCAUCGGCAUAGGCUGUGUGAUGCGUUGAACGAAGCGGAUCGGUCACUUGGAGUCAUUGGGUGUGAGAUUCAUCUGCCUGCAUCUGGUCAGGAAGAAGAUACUCAAGUAUAAUGGAGCAAGUUUGUGUAGACUGAUUGCAGUCCGCUUCGUUCAGCUGAGCAUGGUGGCAUCCAUGAGCAGAGGUACUUAACUCUUAGUCUGAUGUUAGAGAGAAGGCAACGUGGCAUCUUGUAGUUUAGACAGGACCAGCAAACACUUCAGAAAGGCCCAGACUGGGUAAGGGAAUCAGCACAAUGGCAAAUGAAAUGCAAAGCGGUGCCCAGUAGAGAGGAAGCUGUGAAAUGCUAAAAGGUUAGCUUGUGCCAGGUAAUACUGAUAACAUCAUGAGGUUAUCCAUGCCAGCAGCGAGGUGUCAUCUGGAACAGUAGGUGCUGUACUAGUCCCUUUUGGGAUAGGCUUCAUGGCUGGGUGCAGAGAUCUCCUCGGAGCAGAUGUUUCAGCAUGGGAAGGGGCUAAAAAGGAUGAAGGAUCACAUCUACGUUUUACACAAGGUCUUCAAUCUGGAUGAGAUCUAACAUGGUGAGCAGAUCAUCACACCUGACUUCUUAUACCUUCCUCUGAAGCUGGGCAGCAGUUCCCAUAUUGCAGUGCUGAGAUCAGAAACAGGACUGAAGCAGUCCAGCAGUUCCCAUGUCACAGUAUUUAUUCGGGGGUAAGAAUUCGGAGUUCUCCAGCAAACAGUCUCUUGGAAGAGUUCAAGGGCCUAAGCAACUUCUCUUUCCUCUCUUCCUCUUUCACUCGGCCUCUGUAGUCUUCUGCGGGGAGUGGAAGUCACCUUAGGCUACCUCAAAAUCCUGCAUGAGGUUCAGAAAGUUUGAGAGGAAAACCUCUUGCGAAGACCAGGGAAGUUGCCCCCAUUUCAAGUAGCAAAACUCUCCAGAUUCCAGCUGAGAUGACUAGGGGUAGUUUUUGUACUUGAAAAUGGGGCAAAUUCACUGCGGCCUUCAGCGUGAGAAGUUUGGUAUCCUCAGGGCAAGGAUUUGCCACGUGCGAGAGGAAGGGGGCUCCUGAGCCAGAGAUUCCCAAAUUGACCUGACUGUCCACAUGGCAGAACAGGCAGAGGAGGCCACUUGCUGCUUGAUAUCCCUUUUCUUUGCAAGUCUUUGCAUCCCAGCAGUGUGAGUAUCUGCUGGGAGAGCUCUUAAAACGAAGCAACCUUGGCAACAAAUACAGUGAGUCGCAUCCUACAGAUGCCCCUCUAAAAACUUGAGAGUUAAAUCUGCACUCCCAUCUCUUUUGUUGCAUGCGUAUAAUGACAGCCCUCGUCUCAGAAACGCAUUCCUCCUCUGAUUCUUAGUUUUUCUUAAAGAUGCUUGAAGCCAGCAUUCAGCCAUCUGAAUGUGUGCUGUCGAGAGUGAUCCCGUUGCGGCAGGGCUUGAAACGAAGGGAACCUGAAUACCUCUGCUUAUUAAAGUUCCUUGGCAACAUGUGGAGUUAGGUUAAUAACCCUGCUGACUGGGAAGAGCUCCAGAUUGAUUAAUUCCACACCACUCCCCAUCUCCCUUUUCCAUUGUAGUGGGACGCAGCUUUCCUCCAUUUGUAGUGAGAAUGCCUGCCUUUUCUGCUAGGCACCAUGCUCACAGGAAAAUGUAAUCCCUCCUGAGAGAAGCUGACAGUGUAAGUCUGUCUGUUGCUGUUCUGCUUUCCACCAGGAAGACUGUCGCAUUUCUAGGGUGGCCAAAGCAGCAUCUGCGUGUCGUUUGGAAAGGCUUUGGCAUCCUUUUUAGAUGAUGGGCCCUCCAGUCAGCAGACAAACUGAGAGCACACCUGGAAGAGACUUUGUGCUUACUGUUUCUGAGCUAAGCCUCUGUUUUCUCAGCCGUCCUCUUUCCAGAUAAGUCGCUAAAUAUAUGGGUAAAAUCCACACAGAUGAGAUUUUUUUUUUCCUAGUCUGCCAGAGAACUUGGCACAAAACUGCCAGCAGGCCUUUAGAUAAGAGCUAACGGCUUGAAUGUUAUAGUCCAGCUGUUUCAAAUUGGCUGCCAUCAGGAUGAAUGGCCUAGUCUCAGCCUAGGGGACCCUCGUUCUGUGGCUGUUGCAAGGGACUUCCUGUCUAAACUUUAAUUCUGCUACAUCUCUGUUAAGGAAACCUACACUUUUGUGGGGGGGAAGCAUCAAGUUUCCUGGGUGGGCCAGUCGCCAUAGGCUGGUCCAUUUGCCUUCAUCAGGAAUUCCCAAUCGGUAAGUCCAGCAGACUUUCCAGACCCAACUUUUCAAUGCAGAAAACUUUUAAAACACUGGUGAAACCCAGUUGCUUUAGAGAGAGGACAAAUAGAGACAAAAAUGGGGGAGCCUUGUUUCCAGUAUUUUCAUUGGAGAUUUGAAGGAAGUUGGGAUCAAAGAAUUAUUUCCCAGCGAGAGUUUCACCUCCACAUGAAUCACAGUAAGCUUAUGGGUUUGAGCCAUUAUUAAAGUAACUGAAAUUUGAAUGCCCUGAAAGAGCCAUCACAUUUCAAUUAUUUUUUCAAUUCCAAUGACAUAUCCCAUGACAUGAGUGUAUGGGAGAGCCUUCCCUUCCUGGGGAAAGAAGAGGUGCUGGAAUCGCUCAUCACCAGUGAACUUCUAGAGGAACAGGGAGAAAUCCUCUGAACCUCAUCACAUCUGCAGCCUCAUAAAGACUUUUCUUUUAUCAUGGAGUAGUUAGAUAAGUAAGCCUUAAAGAGGAUUUAUGCUUUGUCUCCCUCGAGACGCGAGAACUAUGUCCCAGUCGUGUAGACCAGGGAAGUCCAGACAAGAGUCAAGUAGGUAGAGGGAAGUCAGCAAGGGGUGGUGCUGAAAGAGAAACUCUUGGGCCGGGGGGUUAUUAGCAGCGCGCUCAAGGGGUGGCCCUGUACCUCCUCUUUCAUUAGUGCCCUCAGCACACGGUGGGAUAACGCUAGUGAAGCAUGCUGACAACAGAGCAGAGAGGCAUUGCCACAGAAGAUUGGCAUUUUGUACAGAAAAAGCCAGAUACUCUGAGAACUGGAAUAGUAGAAAUGGUAUGAAAUAUAAGGGUUCAGAGUGCAGGGUCAUGCAGCAGAGACAGGAAACGGGUCAUGCCGUUUGACAAGGUGCUAGCAAGACUGCCCGGGAAACACUGCACAGUGCUGGCCAGCCUUGCUCAGAACCAUUUCAUUCAAAUGAAGGAGCCUUGAGAAGGGCUGUCGGGUAGUCUGGGAGCAGGGGAGCCCUAGCCUAGGCGAGGGGACUUGCUGGACCUAGCAAACAGAAGGCUGAGAAGUGAUAUGGUCACCUUCUGUGGCAAGACUGUGUGAGGAAACACUUGGGAGGAAGAACGACCAUUUAAGCUGUAGUGUAGAGCAGUGCUGGCAUGAGCAAGUGGGUGGUACAUAUUGACCUUGAUAAACUCCUGCUGGAAAUUAGGAAGCAUUUACCUAUCAGCAGAGGGAGGAUCUGGAAUGGCCUUCCUCCCAAUGGGAGUAGUGGAGGAAGAAACCAAACUGGUUGAAGAUGGGCCUUGCUAAAUCUAGGAGAGGGUUUGAGUGACAUGAUUGCCAACAAUAGCAGAAGACUGGCUCAAGCGGGACAGUCUGUCGCUAAGUGGCUUGCUUUAGGCAGCAGGUCAGUAGCAAAGACAGGCCGUUUAGAAAUAGGGCAUUCCUGAUGGCUGAUUUCAUGCUCAGUCCACUGUCUGUCGUCUCUGGCUGGAGUUAUUACUUUUUAUAACAGGUGGACUCUUGUGCAUAUGAAAUAAUUUCUGGUUCCUGUGUGCAGAGAGGACUCUGAUUCCCUUGAGGUUCUGUCUCUGCUACGGCCAGGCUGUCAGUUCAGUUCAAUGUUUGGGAUCUUUCCAGUGCACCAUUUGGCUGCAAAAAUGGUCCACACAAGUACUGAUAAUGUAGGGGUCCUUCCUUCCUCUCCCAUCUCCUUCCCCUUCCCCUCUCUCUCUUGUGUAUACAUUUUCUUUUGGAGAGAUGCAUUAACUUGUGGCUGCACGCCUCGGGAUUAGUAAUGGAAUUGAGAGAAGUUUUUAUUUCCAUCAGCAGCAAACAGAAUUUUAUUACUGAAUAAUUGCAGUCCUUGUGGCCUAUCUAAAAUGAAUUAAUGAGCUUAACAAAAUCAUUAUUGGGCAUCUGGCCACAGUGCAGAUUUGCUUCCCUGUUGUAGAUGUUGGGUAGGACCCACAUGAGCAAGCUCUGCGGAGGUGCCAAAGACCAAAGGCAGAAUUCCCCUGAUGUGGGAAAGAAGUCUGUCCCGGAAAGGACUGAGGCACGCUGCCAGGAGGCAGCCCGGGAAAGCGAGUAGGUGAGGAACCUUUGGCUUUGGGGCCGUCAGUCCAGUUCUUUGCCACAUGCCAAACUUGAAACCAGCUUUUGCAAAAAAAGUGCUUUGCCCCUGUCUGGGACUGUUCUGUGAUGCAGGCAAGUCCUCCCCGCACCCAGAGUGAUGUAGAGAGGCCUUUGUAAAGCAGAGGGGCAGAUUCCUUCACUGGAAAGUAUGCUAGGUGGGCAAGGAAAGGCUGUCUUGCCAGUCCAACUUCUGCAAGGCAUUGACCCUAUUCAGCCUCACUGGAGAAUGCCUGGAGGAGUUUCUCAGUGACUGAGAUGUCUCAGGUGUCAUGUUAUUGGAGCAUCUCCAAAUGGAAGAGAGCAGGGGGCUUGAGUGGCACAGGGGAGGAGGCAUACUAGUGCAACAGCCCACUUGUAGCUGCUGCUUUGGCUGCAUGGUUUUAAUUUCAUGGACUUCGUUGUGGUUCCCAACAGCAUAAUUAAACAGACCUCACUUUUGUCCUCUCUCUCCCUUAGUAAGGAAUAAAAAGUCUAGCUGUGGAUCCAACAGACCGUGAAUAAAAUGCUAAGUGGAGCAGCCCUCGAGUGCUUGGAGUAGGCUGGUGAAGAGAUGGUUCAGAACAGGGCGAUUUGAAGGUCUGUAAAACAUUUAUUAACAGAAGAAGAAAAUAACCCUGGCUUCCAGCCUUCCCACAGCCAGAUUGCACUCGAAGGAGGGUGUCAGCCUGAGGCUAGUGUGGGGCCUUCUCAAUGGAUCUCCAUCCCAAAGGGAGCCCCAGGUGAAUGCUUCAGGGCUUUUAUAACAAACUACCAGCUGUGCUUCACUUCCUUUUGAGUGCAUGUUGCUGCUUCUAGCACACUUCGUAUUCCCCAGUUAGGCCAGGGCCCAGUUACAGCAUUUGUCUGUGUUGUCCAUUGUGUAGUCCAGUGAUUUUCAGCCUUUUUUUAUUUGCAGACCUCUUUGACUUGUAAAUGUUUGUAUUCAUUUACUUUUGAUUGAUCUUAGUCAUCUUUUGUGGACCCCUUAGACAUAGUCUGUGGACCCCCAGGGGUCCACAGACCACAGGUUGAAAACCGCUGUUCCAGUGGAUCCAGCAUCCUUUUAAAUCCCUUUGAAGUCACUACAGUUUUUGCUCCAGGUCAGUAGCUGCAGGGGGGAUGAGAGAGGGUCCAUUAGCUAAAAAUCUUUUACCUUUCAGCAACAUUGGUUGUCUCCUCUGUGAAGGAGCAGCCAUCAAACUUGUGAUUCACUUGUAAACGUUUUUGAGAGCUGGUAGGGAGGGGCUCAGGGCAGGUCUCCUUCUGCCCUGGAGAACAUGUAGCAAAAACCAUGCAAUGAUUGGGAGAGAAAAGGAAGACCCUUGUAUAUGAACUCACCUUACAUUAAGUGCAAUUGCAACAGUAAAGUCCAUUUUUUCUUCCUCAGAGCCAUAGUGAGAACUUUCUAAAAAGAGUCUUGCCCAUCAGCUAACACAGCCCAGGGCAUACUGUGUUGGUACCAGACUGCAGCUGGUAUUGGGCAGGAGGCGCAUCUGCGUGCUAAUGAAGGACAGAGCACAUGGCUUGAACUUAACAUGUGUCCCCCUUAAAUGUGCUCGAAGCAGGGCCGCGGUCUGUAGGGAAUAGACUGUUGCAUCAGUUGAGCUCUUCCCAAAAGGUGUAGAAGGGAGUGAAACUGUGGCAUCUCCCUUGUUCAGGACCUCCACUUAGCAAUCCUGAAAUCAGAGAGGGGUCGCUGCAAAGAUGCUUUAGAGGUGAGUCAAAAAAUCUCUUUGAACUCCCAGAGCAAUCUCUUGUGGAAGGGAACAGCUCUGUCCUUCUCUGACACUUUUCCCAUGGAUUCUGGAGCCCCUGGGUGGGAAGUUCGGUACAUCUCUGCCUCUCAUCCCAAGAGAGGAUCUUGGCUCCCUCAGGGUUGCUGCCCUUUGGUUCCUCUCAUUGCAGCAGGACUCGGAGUGUCUCUGUCCUCUUUGAGAGUGCACGGCCAGAUAUCCGAAUGGUACUGAGGUGUCUAGAAAUGCAAAGAAGGGGUCUUUGGAGUUCUUAAGUGCUAACCUGCCUUUGAAACAGGAGUAGGAAUUGAAGAGGAAUUAGGUGCUUCUGUCUAGCUAGGAAGAGAGACUAAUUGUGGCUCCAAGAGACAAAGGAAAGCACAAAUUCAACCGUGCAGCAAAUGGAAGAAAACAAGCAUCCUGUGCCCUCCCUGUGGCUCCUGUUUCUCCCCCAAAGGUGACAGCAACUUAGUUUUGGCCUGUAUCAUCUCACACUAGAGAAGCAGGCACGGUUCCUUCCAUCAGCUCCGUUUGAGAGUUAAGAGCACCUGCCAUCAAAGUCCUGUGAGAGAGAGA